ensembl:lncRNA
CAAUUUUUCAGUUUUUGAUUUGUUAAAAAAGUUUGAAAUAUCCAAUAAAUGUCGUUCCACUUCAUGAUUGUGUCCCACUUGUUGUUGAUUCUUCACGAAAAAAUACAGUUUUAUAUCUUUGUUUGAAGCCUGAAAUGUGGCAAAAGGUCGCAAAGUUCAAGGGGGCCGAAUACUUUCGCAAGGCACUGUAUGUAAUCUUUCAUUCUCUCCAACAACUCUAGGUACCGCCUGUCGUCAGACAGGUUACAACUACCAAGCUACUCUUUACCAUGGGUCGUGUCCACCAAGGAAACAUUUGUUGGUGAAUCUGAACGAUCUCAUUUCAAGCCGGAAGUGUUUAAGUGUGUGAGGUGCCUCUUUGUGGACACCUUUGCUUGACGGAUCUUACCACAGACGUCACCGAAGGUCACCGAAGGUGUGCGUCGUCAUCAUAUUGGGAAGCCAAAAGUGUGUAUGUUCCAGUCAAAGGAUUGCACUGCUGAACGGAUCUGCAAAGAGCUGGAACAAAUUUGGGGUGAAUUAUUAUGCCCCGUCCUCUUCAACUCCACACCGCUGGUUGCCGCACUGAGUAUAAACCAAGGCAGAGAAGUGGUUUCUUAUAGUAUUUAUCCUUUGAAAACGAGUUGACUGGAAAGGUACUGUUUGUGUGUGCCCAAACACACAGAGAUAGACGGACAUGGAAUAAGGCAGCCACUUUAGCUUGUUCUGUGACUGCUGAAGGGGUGUAGAAACACUGACAUGUACUGGCCAUUGAGAGAACUAGACCUCUUUUGCAGCAAUGGUGAAAAUGUGUGAAUUUUUUUUAGCGACUAUUAUAACGGCCUUUUGGGAUGUUCGAAAAUCAUCAGCCAUGUUCAACUGGUAUAUAUUGAUGAUGAUCAACACUGUCCUUUUGUUGCCAAAGGAGAGAGAGAUGUAUUCUGUUUUCUAUUGUACAAAUAUUCACAGCCACAGUACAAGGUACUACCAUGUAUUUUCCCAACCGAUACACUGCUCUCUGUGAAGCUGUUUGCUUCUGACAGUGAUACUGCACAGAUCGUCAGUGAUGCAUUGGUCUAUUAUCUCCGGCUCAGUCAAACAGGUUUCGAGAGCCCAUCAUAUUGAUAGUUCUGCUGUUGACCGCCGUCUGGAUGUCUCUCUCCUUCUCUCUCUCUCUCUCUCCUCACACAUAUCCGAUGUGUUUCUCAGCACUUCCAGCUCACUGGAUCACAGUUCCAGUAUAUCUUAUGUGUGUUGAGGUGAACGCCAGAAGACCACAUGAGCGAAAAGGACUGCUCCUUGUUCACAACAUGAGUUCCUAACAGUCGCCCAGAAUGUUUCUGCAUGUCUGAUUGACUGUUUCUUUGGUGUUGAUACAAUGUCAACGUAUUGGUUCGGUUUUGAGUUUCUCUUUUCUAUUUCCCCGAUGGUCUGGUAGGCACACAGGCCCGGUGGAUUAACAACCCGCCUUCCCAGAACAUUGGUGUUUUCCUCGGGAACAAAACCAGCAGCUAUUCAAAAAGGUUUUUCUCUCUCUUUUUCCCUCUCCCUACGGCAUGUAUUUGAAGUAUAGCUGAAGAAGCAUUAAGAAUAAAUGAGACGGUUUCUCAAUUUUCAUCUCCACACAAACGAGGUAUCAAAAGUAUUAUUCAACAGGUGGGGUAAAUAACUCUCAAAACAGUUCCUAUGCAAAAUCAAAGAGAAAAGAUUUCACUUGCACCAUGCUUCAGUUUUACUAUGAAAGCAUGCAGUUCAGUUAUCUUGUGGUUUUGAAAAUGAUUGGGAUAUCCAUUCCUUAUUGUAAAUCUAAUGUUGAAUAUUGUAAUUGAAGAAGGCAUUCACUUGUUUCUUACAGCACUGUAAAUUGUACUCUAAAUUAAAUAUUGUUAAGAAAGAAAAAAAGAAAAAAUGCAUAUAUAUAUAUAUAUAUAUAUAUAUAUAUAUAUAUAUAUAUAUAGUAUACAUUAUACAAUCAUAUGUAUUGUUUCCAUAUACAGUACCUUCAGAAAGUAUUCAUACCCCUUGACUUAUUCCACAUUUUGUUGUUACAACCUGAAUUCAAAAUGGCUGAAAUAUAUAUUUUUCUUCUCGCUCAUCUACACACAAUAACACAUGUAUUUAUUUGAUUUUUAUUUCAUCUUUAUUUAACUAGACAAGUCAGUUAAGAACAAAUUAUUAUUUACAAUGACUGCUAAGCCCUAACCCGGACGACGCGGGCUAACUGUGCCCUGCCCUAUGGGACUCCCAAUCACGGCCGGUUGUGAUACAGCCUGGAAUCGAACCAGUGUCUAUAGUGAUACCUCUAGCACUGAGAUGCAAUGUUUUUAGAAAUGUUAGCAAAUUUAUUGAAAAUGAAAUACAAAAAUAUAUAAUUUACAUAAGUUCACACCCCUGAGUCAAUACUUUGUAGAAGCACCUUUGGCAGCGAUUACAGCUGUGAGUCUAUCUGGGUAUGUCUCUAAGAGCUUUACACAUCUGGAUUGUAUAAUAUUUACCCAUUUAUUAUUUUCUAAAUUCUUCAAGCUAUGCCAAACUGGUUAUUGAUCAUUGCUAGACAACCAUUUUCAGGUCAUUCCAUAUAUUUUUUUAAAAGUAGAUUUAAGUCAAAACUAACUCGGCCCCUCAGGAACAUUCACCGUCUUCUUGGUAAGGAACUCCAGUGUAGAUUAGGCCUUGUGUUUUAGGUUGUUGCCCUGCUGAAAGAUGAAUUCAUCUCCCAGUGUCUGGUGGAAAGCAGACUGAACCAGGUGUUUUUGCCUAUGCUUAUCUCCAUUCCGUUUAUUUUUUUAUAUCCUGAAAAACUCCCCAGUCCUUAACGAUUACAAUCAUACCCAUAACAUGAUGCAGCCACCACUAUGCUAAUGAGAGUGGUAUUCAGUAAUGUGUUGUAUUGGAUUUGUACCAAACAUAACACUUUGUGUUCAGGACAAGAAGUUAAUUGGUUUGCAAAUUGUUUUAGCAGUUUUAUUACUUUAGUGCCUUGUUGCAAACAGGAUGCAUAUUUUGGGAUAGGUUUUAUUCUGUUCAGGCUUCCUUCUUUUCACUCUGUUAAUUAGGUUAUUAUUGUGGAGUAACUACGAUGUUGUUGGUCAACCCUCAGUUUUCUCCUAUCACGUCCAUUAAACUCUAAUUGUUUUAAAGUCACCUCUGGCCUCAUGGUGAAAUCCCUGAGCGGUUUCCUUCGAGUUAGGAAGGACACCUUUAUCUUUUUAGUGACUGGGCGUAUUGAUACACUAUCCAAAGUGUAAAUUAUAACUUCACCAUGUUCAAAGGGAUAAUCAGUGUCUGUUUUUUUUGUUUUGUUUUUUCAUAUACCAAUAGGUGACCUUCUUUGCGAACCAAUAGGUGACCUUCUUUGCGAACCAAUAGGUGACCUUCUUUGCGAACCAAUAGGUGACCUUCUUUGCGAACCAAUAGGUGUCCUUCUUUGCGAGGCAUUGGAAAAGCUUUCUGGUCUUUGUGGAUGAAUCUGUGUUUGAAAUUCACUGCUUGACUGAGGGACCUUACAAUUAUCUGUAUGUGUGGGGUACAGAGAUGAAGUAGUCAUUCAAAACUCAUGUUGAACACUAUUAUUGCACACAGAGUGAGUCCAUGCAACUUAUUAUGUGACAUGUUUAGCAAUAUUUUACUCCAAUUAUUUUGGGUUUACCAUAACAAAUGGGUUGAAUACUUAUUGACUCAAGACAUUUUAGCUUUUUAUUUGUAAUUAAUUUGUAAAUAUUUCAAAAAACAUAUUAUGGGCAUUAUGGGGUAAUGUGUCUAGGCCAGUGACAACAAAAUCUAAAUGGAAACCAAUAAAAUUCAGCCUGUAACACUGUGGAAAAUGUGGAAAAAGUCCAGGUGUGUGAAUACUUUCUGAAGGCACUGUGUAUAUACAGUAUAUAUGAAUAAUACCCAUGUUUUAGAGCUUUCCGCUUCUUGCCUUAAUGACGCAUACACUAAGCUAGAUAUAGACGGGCACCUCUGUCCAACAGAGCCUGAAUCACUCCAAUAACCAAUCUACCAUAAACCUGCUUGUCAACUUGAUAGCUCCUAGUUUUUUUCAAAGGAAAUUAUUCUCUAUAAAAACAUAUGAAAUAAUGAAUCUAGUUGGAUACUGUUGUGAUGCAACACUCAGUCUAUAGAGUCCAGGGACUUUCUCUCACAUCAGCACAAACUCCUCAGUUUGACAGGGUUGAAACAAGGCAUUUUUUAACGUGUGGACAGUGCCUUUUUAGUGUUUAUGUUUAAAGUUGCCAACACAUGAUGGGAUGUUCAGGAUUGUGUUUAUUUCUCCUUGUCCUAUGCUUUCUGAUCUGUUAAUACCUUUGAGUUACAUUUGAGUUUGUUUCUGUAUUUGUUGUGCUGUUGUCAUCUAAAAAUGUAGGAUCUGUUAUUUUCAAAAUGACCUCAAGCGGUUAAAUAUCAAAUUUGAGUUCAAUAUGUCCCAUCUCUAAUGUAAUGACUGCAAAAAGUACAACGUAGGAUGAUUUUGCAUUUUCUAUUCUAAUUAAUAUUGUCCUAAAAUGCUGUACAUAAACACAUGUUAAUAAUUUCUCAUUGAAACAUUGAUAUGAUCAUUUUCUUUGAAUGCACUGUUAUUAGCUGAAGUAUUUAGUGGUAAAUGAAAAGUAUUUCAUGUUUUGUUUAGACACUAAAGAUAUGGAGGUUGUAUAAAAGUUCUAUGCCAGACAAAGCUUUUUUAGGACUUCUUGCCUGUUGUGUGGACAUCCUAAAGAUACACACUAGUAAUGAAUACACAUAUGAAUGAUAGUGCACCUCUAGGUCUAUACCUCUUCACGUUCUCCUUUUACUAGUGUUGCAUGUACCUCCCUUUUCCAAUCCAGAAUUUAAGCACUUAUCCUCCCCCCCUCUCAACAGUCUGUACAGAAAGACAGACACUCCCAUUUGCAAAGUGCUCCUGUGAUACUUCAAAAUGGCUUCUGAGAAGCGGUUUAGGUCUCUUGUGCAUGUGGCGUGGUGCUCUCUGUCCUCCAAUAUGAAACCAAUUUACCCAUUUAACCAGAGCAUGCAAUUUCAAGUCUCACAGAAAGACAAAAAGCAACAUAAUUGUUUGUGCAUGUUUACGUCAAGGAGCCCUCCUCAUCUCUAAGGGGUACAUCCCAAAUGGCACCUUAUUUACUACAUAGUGCACCACUUUGGGAUGCAGUGCACUACAUUGGGACGCAAACUAAGUUGUAUUAAGACAUGAAGUGCUCCACCAUUUUGUGGUCCACAUUCUCUUUUGGCUCCAUGGCAUGUAAGGCAAUAGCACAGUGCAGGAAAUAAAAAUAACACAUUUAUUCAGCUGGUUUUAGCUACGUUGCCCUAAUUUCACUGUACAAAUGACUGUUAAAUGAGAAAAAAGUCACGUAUAUUUAUUUUAAACCGAGUGUACAAAACAUGAAGGACACCUGCUCUUUCCAUGACGUCGACUGACCAGGUGAAUCCAGGUGAAAGCUAUGAUCCCUUAUUGAUGUGACUUGUUAAAUCCACUGCAAUCACUUUAAAAAGCUGCUGGGUUUUUCACGGUCAACAGUUUCCCAUAUGUAUCAUGAAUGGUCCACCACCCAAAGGACAUCCAGCCAACUUGACACAACUGUGGGAAGCAUUGGAGUCAACAUGGGCCAGCAUCCCUGUGGAACGCUUUUGACACCUUGUAGAGUCCAUGCCCCGAAGAAUUGAGGCUGUUCUGAGACAAAGGGGGGAGGCAACUCAAUAUUAUGAAGGUGAUCUUAAUGUUUUAUACUCAGUGAAUAUCCUCUAUUAUAAUAAAAUCUAUUUUGCUUCAGAUA